rnacentral:rRNA from 1 species
CCUACGGGAGGCAGCAGUGAGGAAUAUUGGUCAAUGGACGAGAGUCUGAACCAGCCAAGUAGCGUGAAGGAUGACUGCCCUAUGGGUUGUAAACUUCUUUUAUAUGGGAAUAAAAUGUUCCACGUGUGGGAUUUUGUAUGUACCAUAUGAAUAAGGAUCGGCUAACUCCGUGCCAGCAGCCGCCGUAAUACGGAGGAUCCGAGCGUUAUCCGGAUUUAUUGGGUUUAAAGGGAGCGUAGGUGGAUUGUUAAGUCAGUUGUGAAAGUUUGCGGCUCAACCGUAAAAUUGCAGUUGAAACUGGCAGUCUUGAGUACAGUAGAGGUGGGCGGAAUUCGUGGUGUAGCGGUGAAAUGCUUAGAUAUCACGAAGAACUCCGAUUGCGAAGGCAGUUCACUGGACCGCAACUGACACUGAGGCUCGAAAGUGUGGGUAUCAAACAGGAUUAGAUACCCCAGUAGUC